AUUGAACGCUGGCGGCAUGCUUUACACAUGCAAGUCGAACGGCAGCGCGGGCUUCGGCCUGGCGGCGAGUGGCGAACGGGUGAGUAAUACAUCGGAACGUGCCCAGUAGUGGGGGAUAGCUCGGCGAAAGCCGUAUUAAUACCGCAUACGACCUGAGGGUGAAAGCGGGGGAUCUUCGGACCUCGCGCUAUUGGAGCGGCCGAUGGCAGAUUAGCUAGUUGGUGGGGUAAAGGCCUACCAAGGCGACGAUCUGUAGCUGGUCUGAGAGGACGACCAGCCACACUGGGACUGAGACACGGCCCAGACUCCUACGGGAGGCAGCAGUGGGGAAUUUUGGACAAUGGGCGAAAGCCUGAUCCAGCAAUGCCGCGUGUGUGAUGAAGGCCUUCGGGUUGUAAAGCACCUUUGGCGGGAACGAAAAGGACUGUGCCAAUACCACGGUUCGAUGACGGUACCCGCAGAAUAAGCACCGGCUAACUACGUG
rnacentral:rRNA from 1 species